rnacentral:rRNA from 1 species
AGAGUUUGAUCCUGGCUCAGGACGAACGCUGGCGGCGCGCCUAACACAUGCAAGUCGAGCGAUGAAAUUUCAACAGAACUCUUCGGAGUGACGAUGAAAUGGAUUAGCGGCGGACGGGUGAGUAACACGUGAGAAACCUGCCUUUCACAAGGGGAUAGCCUCGGGAAACCGGGAUUAAUACCCUAUGACACACUUCCUUCGCAUGGAGGAGAUGUUAAAACUCUGGUGGUGAAAGAUGGUCUCGCGUCUGAUUAGCUAGUUGGUGAGGUAACGGCCCACCAAGGCCAUGAUCAGUAACCGGCCUGAGAGGGUGAACGGUCACAUUGGAACUGAGACACGGUCCAAACUCCUACGGGAGGCAGCAGUGGGGAAUAUUGCACAAUGGGGGAAACCCUGAUGCAGCGACGCCGCGUGAGCGAUGAAGGCUUUCGAGUCGUAAAGCUCUGUCCUAUGGGAAGAUAAUGACGGUACCAUAGGAGGAAGCCCCGGCUAACUACGUGCCAGCAGCCGCGGUAAUACGUAGGGGGCGAGCGUUGUCCGGAAUCACUGGGCGUAAAGGGUUCGCAGGCGGUUUAUCAAGUCCGAUGUGAAAGGCAUGGGCUCAACCCAUGUAAGCAUUGGAAACUGGUAGACUUGAGUUAAGGAGAGGUAAGUGGAAUUCCUAGUGUAGCGGUGAAAUGCGUAGAUAUUAGGAAGAAUACCGGUGGCGAAGGCGACUUACUGGACUUAAACUGACGCUGAGGAACGAAAGCGUGGGGAGCAAACAGGAUUAGAUACCCUGGUAGUCCACGCUGUAAACGAUGAGUGCUAGGUGUCGGGGUUACUCGGUGCCGCAGUUAACACAUUAAGCACUCCGCCUGGGGAGUACGUGCGCAAGCAUGAAACUCAAAGGAAUUGACGGGGACCCGCACAAGCAGCGGAGCAUGUGGUUUAAUUCGAAGCAACGCGAAGAACCUUACCAAGGCUAGACAUUUUACUGCCCGGUCUAGAGAUAGACCCUUUCUUCGGAACAGUAAAACAGGUGGUGCAUGGUUGUCGUCAGCUCGUGUCGUGAGAUGUUGGGUUAAGUCCCGCAACGAGCGCAACCCUUACCUUUAGUUGCCAGCAUUACGGAUGGGAACUCUAAAGGGACUGCCGAUGAUAAAUCGGAGGAAGGUGGGGAUGACGUCAAAUCAUCAUGCCCUUUAUGCCUUNACCACGAUAUCGUACUUUUUGUAGAACGGGCCAGCGAGUUACGAUUUCAAGCAAGGUUAAGAAGACAAACUUCGGAGCCGUAGGGAAACCGAGUCUGAAGAGGGCGAAGAGUUUGAGGUUGUAGACCCGAAACCGUGUGAUCUAUCCAUGGGCAGAGUGAAGUGUUGGUAAAACGACAUGGAGGCUCGAACCGGGUAGCGUUUAAAAGCUAUCGGA